rnacentral:rRNA from 1 species
AUUGAACGCUGGCGGCAGGCCUAACACAUGCAAGUCGAGCGGAUGAAGGGAGCUUGCUCCUGGAUUCAGCGGCGGACGGGUGAGUAAUGCCUAGGAAUCUGCCUGGUAGUGGGGGAUAACGUCCGGAAGCGGGCGCUAACACCGCAUACGUCCUGAGGGAGAAAGUGGGGGAUCUUCGGACCUCACGCUAUCAGAUGAGCCUAGGUCGGAUUAGCUAGUUGGUGGGGUAAAGGCCUACCAAGGCGACGAUCCGUAACUGGUCUGAGAGGAUGAUCAGUCACACUGGAACUGAGACACGGUCCAGACUCCUACGGGAGGCAGCAGUGGGGAAUAUUGGACAAUGGGCGAAAGCCUGAUCCAGCCAUGCCGCGUGUGUGAAGAAGGUCUUCGGAUUGUAAAGCACUUUAAGUUGGGAGGAAGGGCAGUAAGUUAAUACCUUGCUGUUUUGACGUUACCAACAGAAUAAGCACCGGCUAACUUCGUG